GGCAGCAGCCGCGGUAACACCGGCGGCCCGAGUGGUGAUCGUGAUUAUUGGGUCUAAAGGGUCCGUAGCCGGUUUGGUCAGUCCUCCGGGAAAUCUGAUAGCUCAACUAUUAGGCUUUCGGGGGAUACUGCCAGACUUGGAACCGGGAGAGGUAAGAGGUACUACAGGGGUAGGAGUGAAAUCUUGUAAUCCCUGCGGGACCACCUGUGGCGAAGGCGUCUUACCAGAACGGGUUCGACGGUGAGGGACGAAAGCUGGGGGCACGAACCGGAUUAGAUACCCGGGUAGUCCCAGCCGUAAACGAUGCUCGCUAGGUGUCAGGCAUGGCGCGACCGUGUCUGGUGCCGCAGGGAAGCCGUGAAGCGAGCCACCUGGGAAGUACGGCCGCAAGGCUGAAACUUAAAGGAAUUGGCGGGGGAGCACAACAACGGGUGGAAGCCUGCGGUUUAAUUGGACUCAACGCCGGACAACUCACCGGGGGCGACAGCAAUAUGUAGGCCAAGCUGAAGACUUUGCCUGAAUCGCUGAGGGGUGGUGCAUGG
rnacentral:rRNA from 1 species